AGAGGAUCGAGGCGGCGCUAAAUUAAAUUAGCAUACUAACUAGUUAGCUGUCUGUGUGGCGGUGGAUGGACGGUGUCGGUGUUGGUGAGCGUGAGCGGAGCUGUCCGAACUAACGCUCAUUUUCCAGUCUUCACCGAGUCCGGGCUCCGUGUGUCGGGAUCCUGCUGCCGUCCGCCUGCCGAGGAGAUGGGGGACAAGGCGGGCACCAGAGUUUUCAAGAAGUCAAGCCCCAACUGUAAAGUCACAGUUUACCUGGGAAAGAGAGACUUUGUGGAUCACCUGGACCAUGUGGAUCCAGUUGACGGCGUGAUCCUCGUAGACCCUGAGUAUCUGAAGGACAGGAAAGUCUUCGUCACUCUGACGUGUGCAUUUCGUUACGGUCGUGAAGACCUGGACGUUCUCGGUCUGUCGUUCAGGAAGGAUCUGUACAUCUCCACCUUCCAGGCCUUCCCUCCAGUUCCUGAGGAAAAGAAACCCAACAGUCGUCUUCAGGAGCGGCUGCUGAAGAAACUGGGUCAACAUGCUCACCCGUUCUACUUCACUAUUCCUCAGAACCUGCCCUGUUCAGUCACUUUACAGCCAGGCCCAGAGGACACUGGAAAGGCCUGCGGUGUCGACUUUGAGAUUAGAGCCUUCUGCGCCAAGUCGAUAGAAGAGAAGAUUCACAAGAGGAACUCGGUGCGUCUGGUGAUCAGGAAGGUUCAGUAUGCUCCAGAGAAACCUGGUCCUCAGCCCAUGGUGGAGACGACUCGCAGUUUCCUCAUGUCCGACAGAUCUCUGCACCUGGAGGCGUCUCUGGACAAAGAGCUGUAUUACCAUGGUGAGCCAAUCAGCGUCAACGUUCACGUCACCAACAACUCGACCAAGACGGUGAAGAGAGUGAAGAUCUCUGUGCGUCAGUAUGCAGACAUCUGUCUCUUCAGUACGGCGCAGUAUAAAUGUCCAGUUGCUCAGCUUGAAGCAGACGACCAGGUGUCGUCCAGCUCCACCUUCUGUAAGGUUUACACUCUGACCCCGACGCUCGACAAGAACAGAGAGAAGAGAGGACUCGCUCUGGACGGAAAACUCAAACAUGAAGACACCAACCUGGCCUCGUCCACCAUUGUGAAGGACGUCACCAACAAAGAGGUUCUGGGAAUCCUGGUUUCCUACAGAGUCAAAGUGAAGCUGGUGGUCUCACGUGGCGGGUAACACACACACAAGCUCCUCCCACUCUGCUGACAUCACUUCCUGUCUGUACUUUGCUGAUGAAAUGUUUGAGGCUGAGCUUCACCGAAUUCAACGUCGUUGGCUGUUAUAAAUGUGUGUGUGUGUGCACGGCAACAGGAAACAGUCUGACACACACUGGAAUCACUCCUGUUUAAAAAUAAAAGCCUCAACAUUUUUAAACAGAGUGAACUUUCUAUUACAAUAGUUAAAAAUAAAUUUAUUCUGAAAAAUACAGGGUUGAGUUUUAGUGUGACAAAACGGAAACUAGGAGCUUUUAAUUUGAAAACUGCGGGGUUUGUUUGAGUGUGGAUGAACAGAAAGUGAGACUUUUAUUUUGUUGGUGUAAGUGAAACUGUGGGCAGGGCCUGUGGGGGCGGGGCCUGAGCGUGACACUGGUGAAGCUCAGCUUCAGAUUUCUGCUUCAUCCUCAGACUCUGCUGUUGUUGCCCGUCACUGUUUGUUGUCAACAUGUUGCCUCCUGCUUUUCAUUUCAUCUCCCUCUGUGUUUUUGGCUUCCUGUUUCCCUCCUCCUCCCCCCUGUGUCCGCCCCCCUCCCUCCCUCCCUCCCUCCCUCCCCCAGGCUGCUGCGAGGCAUGUUGGAGAGGGAUGUGUCGGUGGAGCUGCCCUUCAUUUUAAUGCAUCCUAAACCUGUGGAGCUGCCACUGUCCCGCCCACAGUCAGCUGUGCCAGAGAUGGACCCGCCCAUCGACACCAACUUAAUAGAAUUCGACACAAACAGCAUCUCCCAGGACGACGACUUCGUCUUCGAGGACUUCGCCCGCCUGCGACUCAAAGGUGUAAUGGACGACAAGGACGAAGACUGCUAGGAGCUCGCCGACCCCUCACACGCUCGCUUCACACACACCGCACACACGCACACACACACACUGUUCACGUUACAUUCCCCACUGGAGGGGACGGAGGGCGUGUUUGAACGGAGGCCUCGGGGGCUCGGUGGUGUUCUUCCUCUCUUGCUUCUGCCAUUCGUCACGCCGCCGCCAUAUUCCUGCCACCGUCUUCUCCCUCCACCCCUCCCUCUUUACUGAAGGUUAAACUGUCAACGUGACGCAGCCGCAGGGUCUGCGCCGAAGCCUCGCCGUCACAUUGUUUGUAGUCGUAGUGACGUUAAGGUGCGGGGCUUAGUCUGAGCGCGUACCACGUGACGGAAGUAGAAUUAAAUUAAAGUUUGCGUAGUCGUAGCGUUGCAGUGUUUGUCGGCUUUUAUGUUGACACUCGCGUCUCGUACGAACAGGAUAUAUAUUUGAAACAGAAAAAAAAAAUUACAAGACGCUGAGUCGUACGUUUGCCGCUUUUUCUUUUUUUUUUAAAACACUGUACGUGCUUUUUUUAGGGAGGAAAUACUCACACACACACACAGUCUUAACACCGGCGACUAAAGUUCAAUUUCACCAGCAUCCGCUCUGACUCCACCCCCUCCUCGUCACUUCCUGUCUGCUGUCGCGUUCUUUUCGUUUAUUUCCACAGAAUCAUUCCACGCAUUUUUCUUACUGUUUUGUAAAAGUAAACAAACAAACGUAGUUCAGGCGACGCAGCACGAAUGUAAAUAAAGAUGGACAACGCUGCAUUCCAUUUAAAUCAGAAGUCGGAACUGGGAGCAUUCACAGCCGAGUUCACAGCGUUCCAGUUAGAAGUCGGAAAUGCAAAUGUAUCUCAAGGCGCACACAAACUUUGUUUAAAAAAAAAUGACUACGAUAAAUAAAAAAAACAGUACGUUGCGUACGACUGUUUUAUCGUGAAACAUAACACAAAAUUUGCAGUGUUUGUACGGUGGCUGCCAUCUUGGGAUCAAAUGUUGGGAUUGGUGCGUUAGCUCGUCGGAAAUUCCCCAGUUCCGACUACAAAUGGAACGCACCCCACUACUCCCGACCAAUCGGGAGUCGGUACCAGCUGCCAAUCACGACGUCUCAACCUGUUUUUGUAUCAAUAAAUUAUUAAACCAAA